GGGGAUGAAAGGAUUUCGACGGGGGUUUUAAGCCGUGAUAAGCGAGCAGCGGUGAGGCACCGCUAUAAAAGCUUCAAGUUUAGAAAUAAACGACAACAAUACAGUUUUAAAGGCUGCUUAAUUUAGCAGCAGUUCCCUCGGGAAGUACUGCGGUCCCGAACGGAGCUUCAAACAGCAGUAAAUGUGAAUAAGCGACCGCCUUGUAGCUUAUCACACAUAACAGGGCUACCCGAAUUCAAAGCCUGUCAUUAGGCGUUUUAUAAGGGGAAUUACAAUUUAAUGACUACGCUCGUAGAAAGUUGCGGGGAGAGAUUUUCGGACGCGGUUUCGACUACCGCCAUCUCCACCA
rnacentral:tmRNA from 1 species